GAUGAACGCUAGCGGCAGGCUUAAUACAUGCAAGUCGAGGGGCAGCAUGAUUGUAGCAAUACAAUUGAUGGCGACCGGCAAACGGGUGCGGAACACGUACACAACCUUCCAAUAAGUGGGGAAUAGCCCAGAGAAAUUUGGAUUAAUACCCCGUAACAUAACGAUGUGGCAUCACAUUGUUAUUAUAGAUUUUUCGCAUAUUGAUGGGUGUGCGGCUGAUUAGAUAGUUGGCGGGGUAACGGCCCACCGAGUCUACGAUCAGUAGCUGAUGUGAGAGCAUGAUCAGCCACACGGGCACUGAGACACGGGCCCGACUCCUACGGGAGGCAGCAGUAAGGAAUAUUGGACAAUGGACGCAAGUCUGAUCCAGCCAUGCCGCGUGAAGGAUUAAGGUCCUCUGGAUUGUAAACUUCUUUUAUAAGGGACGAAAAAAGGCUUUUCUAAGUCGUCUGACGGUACCUUAUGAAUAAGCACCGGCUAACUCCGUGCCAGCCGCCGCCGUAAUAC
rnacentral:rRNA from 1 species